UUUGAUUCUUAGAUACUUUUAAGUUUUAAUUCACCUUAUUAUUUAUUUGAAAAGUUUUUGCAACAGAUGCUGAGGUGCAGAAAUGUAAUUAUAGGAUUCAGUCUCAUGAGGAUGCAAACAGUACUGGUGUAUAUGCUCCAGGGAAGAAUUCAAAAGCAUAUAUCGACGUAUUGAUGAAAUUUGAACUGAGAUUGGAGAAGUAGAUCCAAAGAGGCCACAAAUAUUGUUUAGAGAGUGUGUGGACUGGUGCCCCUUCUCCCUGGUGCAUCUUAUGUCAAUUUUUGUACCUUUGCUCGUAUUUGACUAUGCGAAAGGAGCACUCUGUAAACCGCUCUCGUCAGAGCUAUUGCAUAUUCUGUUGCCUUUGGCAUGGCCGAAGUUUGUACAAGGAUGAUUUUAUUUUAUAUUUAUUUUAAUUCUUUCACUA